UACGUAGGGAGCAAGCGUUGUCCGGAAUCAUUGGGCGUAAAGCGCGCGUAGGCGGCCCCGUAAGUCCGCUGUGAAAGUCAAAGGCUCAACCUUUGAAAGCCGGUGGAUACUGUGGGGCUAGAGUCCGGAAGAGGCGAGUGGAAUUCCUGGUGUAGCGGUGGAAUGCGCAGAUAUCAGGAGGAACACCAAUAGCGAAGGCAGCUCGCUGGGACGGUACUGCCGCUAAGGCGCGAAAGCGUGGGGAGCGAACAGG
rnacentral:rRNA from 1 species